rnacentral:rRNA from 1 species
UACGUAGGGGGCAAGCGUUGUCCGGAUUUAUUGGGCGUAAAGAGCGUGUAGGCGGCCAGACAGGUCAGCUGUGAAAACUCGAGGCUCAACCUCGAGACGUCGGUUGAAACCGUCUGGCUAGAGUCCGGGAGAGGUGAGUGGAACUCCGAGUGUAGAGGUGAAAUUCGUAGAUAUUCGGAAGAACACCAGUGGCGAAGGCGACUCACUGGCCCGGUACUGACGCUGAGGUGCGAAAGCGUGGGGAGCAACAGG